UGUCUGCAAAGCUAGAACUGGAGCUCUUUCUGAAAUUGACACAGAAAUGUAUCAAAUUCAAGUGCGUGGAAGAGUCCUCCAACCCAACAGAUUAAACUCUUCAACCUAUCUGUUCUCUGGGAGGAUAAUCUGGGGCCUGGCAGGAGUGAUGAGGACACUCCCAUCAGCACAAAUUAAUGAAGAAUGCCACGUGGAAAGAAGAAAGAGACACCUAUAGAAGCAAAAUGAUAUGAAGACACAGGGAGAAGACAUCCAUCGAUAAAGCCACGGAGAGGGGCCUGGAACAGAUCCUGCCCUCAUAGUUUUUAGAAGGAACCAACCCUGAUUUUGGACUUUUAGGCCCUGGAACUGUGAGACAAUAAAUUUCUGUUGUCUAAA